AGAAAAGCACAAAACAGGUUUGGAGCAACAAGGGUAUUGCAUAAAUGUGUAGCAGUGACAAUUCUAUACCAAGAAUGACAAGCACGGGCUUCAAGAGCAAUUAAUCAGCAAAUACAAAGGUGUUUCAGUUAUCCUCCGUGGGAUCCACAUCUGAUACACUCUUAUCAGCACCCUGUGAUGUGUUUAGCUCUGUGAAGGCAUCAUCACCCUCAUGUCCUUCUCC